UCGUAACAAGGUCUCCGUUGGUGAACCAGCGGAGGGAUCAUUACAGAGUUAUACAACUCCCAUACCAUCUGUUAACCUACCCAGUUAUGCCUCGGCGUAAGCUCGGUUGGAGGCACCUGCAGCUACCCUGUAGUUGCGGACUGCCAACUCCAGCCGCGGCCCGCCGGCGGUACACUAAACUCUGUUUUAUUUUAUAUUCUGAGCGUCUUAUUUUAAUAAGUUAAAACUUUCAACAACGGAUCUCUUGGUUCUGGCAUCGAUGAAGAACGCAGCGAAAUGCGAUAAGUAAUGUGAAUUGCAGAAUUCAGUGAAUCAUCGAAUCUUUGAACGCACAUUGCGCCCAUCAGUAUUCUGGUGGGCAUGCCUGUUCGAGCGUCAUUUCAACCCUUAAGCCUAGCUUAGUGUUGGGAAUCUGCUGUACUGCAGUUCCUUAAAGACAGUGGCGGAGCGGCGGUAGUCCUCUGAGCGUAGUAAUUUAUUUCUCGCUUUUGUCAGGCUCUGUCCUCCCGCCAUAAAACCCCCAAUUUUUUAGUGGUUGACCUCGGAUCAGGUAGGAAUACCCGCUGAACUUAAGCAUAUCAAUAA
rnacentral:misc_RNA from 1 species